rnacentral:rRNA from 1 species
AGUCUGGUGCCAGCAGCCGCGGUAAUUCCAGCUCCAAUAGCGUAUAUUAAAGUUGCUGCAGUUUAAAAGCUCGUAGUUGGAUCUGGGGCUUGAGGUCGCUGUCUAUCGUUUCGGCGAUGACGGUGAUGCUCAGCUCUGCUUGCCGGUGACUGUUGCGGUGUUCUUCACUGAGCGCUGUAGCAGCACGGCACGUUUACUUUGAAAAAAUUAGAGUGCUCAAAGCGUGCUUGUCGCUUGAAUAAUGUUGCAUGGAAUAAUGGAAUAGGACCUCGGUUCUAUUUUGUUGGUUUUCGGAGCUUGAGGUAAUGAUUAAGAGGGACGAACGGGGGCAUUCGUAUUGCGGUGUUAGAGGUGAAAUUCUUGGAUCGCCGCAAGACGGACUACUGCGAAAGCAUUUGCCAAGAACGCUUUCAUUAAUUAAGAACGAAAGUCAGAGGUUCGAAGACGAUCAGACACCGUCCUAGUUCUGACCAUAAACGAUGCCGACCAGCGAUCCGUAGUGGUUGCUUUAUGGACCCUACGGGCAGCCUCCGGGAAACCAAAGUAUUUGGGUUCCGGGGGAAGUAUGGUUGCAAAGCUGAAACUUAAAGGAAUUGACGGAAGGGCACACCAGGAGUGGAGCCUGCGGCUUAAUUUGACCCAACACGGGAAAACUCACCCGGUCCGGACACCGUAAGGAUUGACAGACUGAUAGCUCUUUCUUGAUUCGGUGGAUGGUGGUGCAUGGCCGUUCUUAGUUGGUGGAGUGAUUUGUCUGGUUAACUCCGAUAACGAACGAGACUCUAGCCUGCUAAGUAGUGUUGCUAUUGUUAUAUGGUUGACACUUCUUAGAGGGACAAGUGGCAUUUAGCCACGCGAAAUUGAGCAAUAACAGGUCUGUGAUGCCCUUAGAUGUCCGGGGCCGCACGCGCGCUACACUGGAGAAGUCAGCGUGUGUUAUCCAAGUCCGAAAGGACUGGGUAAUCCGUUGAACCUUCUUCGUGCUUGGGACUGUGGCUUGGAACUAUUCCACAUGAACGAGGAAUUCCUAGUAAUUGCAAGUCAUAAGCUUGCGUUGAUUACGUCCCUGCCCUUUGUACACACCGCCCGUCGCUACUACCGAUUGAAUGGUUUAGCAAGGUCCUCGGAUCGUGGCCGUAGGGGCACGCAAGUGUUUCUGCGGUUUGCGAGAAGACGACCAAACUUGAUCAUUUAGA